rnacentral:misc_RNA from 1 species
GAUGAAGAACGUAGCAAAAUGCGAUACGUAGUGUGAAUUGCAGAAUUCAGUGAAUCAUCGAAUCUUUGAACGCACAUUGCACCUCUCGGUAUUCCGGGAGGUAUGCCUGUUCGAGCGUCAUUUGUACCCUCAAGCUCUGCUUGGUGUUGGGUGUUUGUUCUGCCUCUGUGUGUGAACUCGCCUCAAAACAAUUGGCAGCCGGCGUACUUGUUUCGGAGCGCAGCACAUUUUGCGAUCCAGAUCAACGUACAGCGGCAUCCAAGAAGCCUUAUUUAACGCUCUUGACCUCGGAUCAGGUAGGGAUACCCGCUGAACUUAAGCAUAUCAAUAAGCGGAGGA